AUUGAACGCUGGCGGCAUGCCUUACACAUGCAAGUCGAACGGCAGCACGGGAGCAAUCCUGGUGGCGAGUGGCGAACGGGUGAGUAAUAUAUCGGAACGUGCCCAGUCGUGGGGGAUAACGUAGCGAAAGCUACGCUAAUACCGCAUACGAUCUAUGGAUGAAAGCGGGGGAUCGCAAGACCUCGCGCGAUUGGAGCGGCCGAUAUCAGAUUAGGUAGUUGGUGAGGUAAAGGCUCACCAAGCCGACGAUCUGUAGCUGGUCUGAGAGGACGACCAGCCACACUGGGACUGAGACACGGCCCAGACUCCUACGGGAGGCAGCAGUGGGGAAUUUUGGACAAUGGGCGCAAGCCUGAUCCAGCAAUGCCGCGUGCAGGAUGAAGGCCUC
rnacentral:rRNA from 1 species